GGUUGUGUAGUGUAAUGGUUAUCACAUUGGAUUCUGAUGAAUUCAUUCAUUCUUUCCAAUAAUCUGAGUUCGAUUCUCAGCACGACCU